rnacentral:tRNA from 1 species
GCCAGCAUGUUCAGUUGGUAUAGCAUGAGACUCUUAAUCUCAGGAUCGUGGGUUCAAGCCCCAUGUUGGGCG